rnacentral:lncRNA from 1 species
CCAGGUCCAACUGAUCCCUCGCUCCUCCCCAUCAGGAUUCAGAACUGCCCUGGCUGUGUGGAAUGAGUGAGUGAAUGAAUGAAUAGGUGGUCAGCACUGACCCUGGGUCACUCUGUCCUGUGACAGAGUCUAAGUAUCUGGUUCUGCUCAUUGGAAGAAUGCACCAGGCCAGCAGGCAGAGGAGGCACCCACCUGGUGUUGAGGGACCAGUGUAGAACCUCCAUGCGGGACACAUCACUGCUAGGAUUCUGAAGACAGGGAACCAGAGCCCAGAGAUAAAGGCUCAAACCGAUUAUAACGCCCCCUUUUUCCAGGAACAAUCAAUACUGAUCUUCACUUAUGGACGUAGUGUGUGCAUUUAUGUGCCAACAUUGCAUAGGCGGUGAUUAAUCCAAAAAACUCUCACAAAACCAGAGCCAGUGAGUUCUGCAAAACAUGAGAAUGUAUUAUUUUAAAUGCUUUUAUCUUGUGAAAUGUAAUAGAUCCACAGAAAAACUCUAUAAUGU